AUUGAACGCUGGCGGCAUGCCUUACACAUGCAAGUCGAACGGUAACAGGUCUUCGGAUGCUGACGAGUGGCGAACGGGUGAGUAAUACAUCGGAACGUGCCCAGACGUGGGGGAUAACGAGGCGAAAGCUUUGCUAAUACCGCAUACGAUCUAAGGAUGAAAGCAGGGGACCGCAAGGCCUUGCGCGUUUGGAGCGGCCGAUGGCAGAUUAGGUAGUUGGUGGGAUAAAAGCUUACCAAGCCGACGAUCUGUAGCUGGUCUGAGGGGACGACCAGCCACACUGGGACUGAGACACGGCCCAGACUCCUACGGGAGGCAGCAGUGGGGAAUUUUGGACAAUGGGCGAAAGCCUGAUCCAGCAAUGCCGCGUGCAGGAUGAAGGCCUUCGGGUUGUAAACUGCUUUUGUACGGAACGAAAAGGCUCUGGCUAAUACCUGGGGCACAUGACGGUACCGUAAGAAUAAGCACCGGCUAACUACGUG
rnacentral:rRNA from 1 species